rnacentral:rRNA from 1 species
AUUAAACUGAAGAGUUUGAUCAUGGCUCAGAUUGAACGCUGGCGGCAGGCCUAACACAUGCAAGUCGAGCGGUAACAGAUCUAGCUUGCUAGAUGCUGACGAGCGGCGGACGGGUGAGUAAUGCAUAGGAAUCUGCCCGGUAGUGGGGGAUAACCUGGGGAAACCCAGGCUAAUACCGCAUACGUCCUACGGGAGAAAGGGGGCUUCGGCUCCCGCUAUUGGAUGAGCCUAUGUCGGAUUAGCUAGUUGGUGAGGUAAAGGCUCACCAAGGCAACGAUCCGUAGCUGGUCUGAGAGGAUGAUCAGCCACAUCGGGACUGAGACACGGCCCGAACUCCUACGGGAGGCAGCAGUGGGGAAUAUUGGACA